UACGUAGGGUGCGAGCGUUAAUCGGAAUUACUGGGCGUAAAGCGUGCGCAGGCGGUUCGUUGUGUCGGCGGUGAAAGCCCCGGGCUCAACCUGGGAAUGGCCGUUGAAACUGGCGAACUGGAGUGUGGCAGAGGGGGGUGGAAUUCCGCGUGUAGCAGUGAAAUGCGUAGAGAUGCGGAGGAACACCGAUGGCGAAGGCAGCCCCCUGGGCUGACACUGACGCUCAGGCACGAAAGCGUGGGGAGCAAAAAGG
rnacentral:rRNA from 1 species